GAGGGUAUAGCUCAAGUGGUAGAGUGCAAGCUUAGCAUGCACAGGCCCUGGGUUCAAUCCCCAGUAACUUCU
rnacentral:tRNA from 1 species